AUGAGGAUGAUACUUCGGCAA
rnacentral:tRNA from 1 species